AAAAAUCCACUUUAUUUAAAUAAAAAUUAACAUUUCACAGAAAAAUGUGGAAAGCUUAGCAUGGCCCCUGCGCAAGGAUGACACGCAAAAUCGUGAAUCGUUCCACAUUUUU